UAAUGCAUCAUUAGUUAUUAAAAACAGACCUGAACUUAACGAGACGAGCGUCGAGUGCAAAUAUAAAUCUGUGGCCUCUCGGGGAAACUCCCAUCACCCGUGUCGCUCGGCGGGCGGCAGCCAAUGUGACUCUUCCACAAACACCUGUCAGCCAGCGGGAACGCCGAAGCCAGCCUGCAUUUCGGUCAUUAUUUCAUUUCUCAUGCUGUGCUUACAUUUCGGUCUCGCCUCAGGUCAUUUGGGCUUUCUUGUGUUCGGGAAAAGGUGCGACAUGAUGAAUGAAUGAAAGAGCAUUAGCUGUUAUUAAAACGUUACAGCUGUGGGUGCGAGAGCGGUGCUAACGCUAUUCUUUAACUUCAGCUGGAUGUGAGUUAUGAGGAGAAACUGAGGUGUUUUUGAAGCACGGUCAAUCUGUCAGGACUGAAUGCCUGUGGGUACAGAGACCUGUCAGCGAAAUGACAAAAUAACUUUGGCAAAGUUAGCAACAACAACAUUACGUUCACUCACUGCCUUGUCAUUAGCAUUUGUGAACGAUAGGCUAGAUGCAAACAGCGACUCAUCUAAUUUAAAUUAAUUUCUUUUCGACUGAAUAAAGAAAGACAUGGACAUCUUGGAUGACAUGCGGUCUCAGUCUCAGUAGCUGUCCAGACACCAGACUGUUUUUCUCCAUCUUCUACAUCAAGCCUGGUUUCUACCCUGUCUACCAUCUGCCAGGAACUGUUAAGGAUCUUCUACCACCUGUGGAGUUUCCAGGUCCGGGACUGAGCGAAUGUUACUGCAAGCCCUCCGCCAGAACUGUGUUUUCUCACUUUAAUUUCUUCAUUGUUCCAGCUGCGAGCACCCAAGAGCUCGGUGCUCGGCAGACUGCCUGUGUUAAACCUUUUGAACUAUAAAUAAAUUCUGUCUGAACUGCCUCUUCGCUUCUGGGUCAUCUGCUGCACACAACAAUA